UAAGGAAUAUUGGUCAAUGGACGCAAGUCUGAACCAGCCAUGCCGCGUGAAGGAUUAAGGUCCUCUGGAUUGUAAACUUCUUUUAUCUGGGACGAAAAAAGGCGAUUCUUCGUCACUUGACGGUACCAGAUGAAUAAGCACCGGCUAACUCCGUGCCAGCAGCCGCGGUAAUACGGAGGGUGCAAGCGUUAUCCGGAUUCACUGGGUUUAAAGGGUGCGUAGGCGGGCAGGUAAGUCAGUGGUGAAAAUCCUGGAGCUUAACUCCAGAACUGCCAUUGAUACUAUCUGUCUUGAAUAUUGUGGAGGUAAGCGGAAUAUGUCAUGUAGCGGUGAAAUGCUUAGAUAUGACAUAGAACACCUAUUGCGAAGGCAGCUUACUACGCAUAUAUUGACGCUGAGGCACGAAAGCGUGGGGAUCAAACAGGAUUAGAUACCCUGGUAGUCCACGCCCUAAACGAUGGAUACUCGACAUACGCGAUACACUGUGUGUGUCUGAGCGAAAGCAUUAAGUAUCCCCACCUGGGGAAGUACGACCGCAAGGUUGAAACUCAAAAGGAAUUGACGGGGUCAUAGCUGUUUCCUG
rnacentral:rRNA from 1 species